rnacentral:rRNA from 1 species
UACGUAGGGGCCGAGCGUUGUCCGGAGUUAUUGGGCGUAAAGCGCGCGCAGGCGGCCUCGCGCGCCCGACGUGAAAGCCCCCGGCUUAACCGGGGAAGGUCGUUGGGGACGGCGGGGCUUGAGGGCGGGAGAGGUCGGUGGAAUUCCCGGUGUAGUGGUGAAAUGCGUAGAGAUCGGGAGGAACACCUGUGGCGAAGGCGGCCGACUGGGCCGACCCUGACGCUGAGGCGCGAAGGCGUGGGGAGCAAACAGG